GGAGGCGUUGCUGAGCAACUGAAUUUCUGCCUUUGCAGUAUGUCAGGCGUGUUUUUGCUGUGUGUGUGUGUCUAAUUUUUGGAAGCGUGUCAGUAUCGUAUAGUUGCAUGUCUGCAUGGUGGGUGGAAGUUCAAAAGUCAGUCUGUCUUUCUUUCACAGGAAGUGGAUGCGUGCAUGGUUAAACCACAUGACAAACACGUCUUAAACGUAACUUUCUCACCUCGUUAGCUCUUAUAUUUUGAUUUGAAUACCGGUAUAAAACUCGUUCUGUUGCUGAAUGUAAAACUCACUAUGCUCUCUUUUACAACCCCGUUGUAGCAAUCUGCCUCGGGAAUUUACAUAGUUAGUGUGAGAGCUGGCAAGCAACCAUUCAAAACAACCUAUUGCUAGGGUUACAACAGUACUCCAUAACUCCUUACUACCAUCCCCACUAAACAUUAACAAGGCAGGGGAGUUAUUUGUUCCUGGUGAAGUCUGGAGCAUCAUUUAAUGUCAAUCUAUAAAAUUAAAAUUACCUGGGAAAUAUAUAUCUGUUUGACGUGUUUUAAAAUAAAAAAAUACACAUUUUUAGUAGACCCCAACACACACACACACACACACACACACACACACACACACACACACACACACACACACACACACACACACACACACACACACACACACACACACACACACACACACACACACAGGAAACUGUUGAUCUAAAAAAAACAGCAACGUUGCAGUUCUUGACACACUCAAACCAGUGGGCCUGGCAACUACUACCAUACCCUAGUCAAAGGCACUUUGUCUUGCCCAUUCACCCUCUGAAUGGCAUAUAGACCCAAUACAUGUCUCAAUUGUCUCAAGGUUUAAAAAUCCUUCUUAAACCUGUCUUCUCCCCUUCAUCUACACUAAUUGAAGUGGAUUUAACAGGUGACAUCAAUAAGGGAUCAUAGCUUUCACCUGGUCAGUCUGGCAUGGAAAGACCAGAGCAAGUAAAAUCUUACUGCUGAAACAACAUUAAAUAGUCUCAACCAUAUUCCCACUUCUUGUUUUUUUUUUAUUAUGUUAUAGAGCAUGAAAAAUAGGAUGUUACCCAAUACCUGAAAGGCCACAGUCAGUCAAUCCCCACAACGUGCAGACUCCGCAAACAACUCACAAACAACAACUGUGGAUUAUUGCCACUGCAAACGCUCAGCAAGAUGCAGACUGGCUGCCAUGUAAUCCCAUAAUCAAUGCAACGAACAUACCUGUCUGUCUAAACAUAGCAUGACGAUAGAAAGCAAACACACAACCCUGUUUCUGCUUUGUGACAUACUGUAGGGGGCAAGUUGAGAAACCAGCAGAUGUGGUAGUGUAGACGGAUAGCUGCAGUAGCGCGUGAACACGCGGUAUUUCCCCGCUCCAUCAGACACUCUAUUGCUUGCCCUUAGUUUGUCUCGCCACGACGAUCGUCUUACUCGUUCUAGGUACAGACACAGGGUAUGUGUUUCAAAUGGCACCCUGUUCUCUCUAUAGUGCACUACUUGGACCAGGGACAGCUCUCACUGUGACUGUAGAUAACAGAUAAGCUGUUUCUAAUCUUAAGCGAUAUAUACAUGUACACUCACCGGCCAGUUUAUUAGGUCCGUCCAUCUAGUACCGAGUCGAACCUCCCUUUGCCACCAGAGCAGCAUGAAUAACUCUACCUACAUGUACAUAUUACCUCAAUUACCUCGACUAACACGGACACGUGGCUCACUGUCUGUAGGAGCGAACCGUUUUCGUGAAAGUGGUGCUGUACCUAAUAAACUGUCAGGUGAGUGUAUAUGCUAAUUUACAAUAUAAAUCAGGGAAUUGGAUUCUUCAUUCCAGUCUGAGUUCACACAGCUCCUAUCUUGAUUACAGUUUACAGUUUCUUUUUACCAGAGCACCAGUUUUCCAAAACAUAAUUUUUUUCUCAAAAUAGUAUUAUCAUUUGCUCAGAGCUUAAUCCUCUAUAUAUUUAUGUUCAAUAGAAUAUGGUAAACAGAUGUAGAAUAUGGUAAACAGAUGUAGAAUAUGGUAAACAGAUGUAGAAUAUGGUAAACAGAUGUAGAACAUGGUAAACAGAUGUAGAAUAUGGUAAACAGAUGUAGAACAUGGUAAACAGAUGUAGAAUAUGGUAAACAGAUGUAGAACAUGGUAAACAGAUUUAAACUAACAUCAAACAUCAUUACUCAUCCAUACUCUGUCAGAGCAGUUAAGAGAUUCUGAAUCAGUCAGGGAACUGUUUAAGUGCAUACCCUGCUAACCUGGGUUAUUUGUCACAACGGUGCCCCACACUGAAUCUUGGGAACACAGCAGAGAGAGGUUCUGACCCCACUAAGCCACCGUACCCAGAAUUAGCAGGGUGGAACUCUCAAUGGAAUAGAACUCUUAGAUCUCUCAAUUAGAAUCAGAAUGUUUAGAACUGGAACACAUUCUACUUCUAUGGGAGAACUCCUAGUCUUGAGAGGAGCAGAGGGGACUGAGGGACUGGGGUUUGUGCCAACUGGCCCAGUCUGAAUGGAACACAGUAGAGCCUAAAGGACAACACAGCUCAAAGAGAUUAGGUUAAUGCAGAACCUGUAUCAUAUGAUUUAGGUCCAUUGUCCCUCUGCUCUGUCUACAUAGCUGUGAGUGUCUCUAUUUCCUUCUCUGUGUCUGCAUGGUGGCCUACAUUCACAAGACAAAUAUUUGGCAGAGUAAGAUAACUUGCUGAACGUCUGACACGGAUCUAUUAGGCUUUGUUUCACUGUAUCACGGUACUACAGUACAUGUAUUCAAGUCUCAUAGCCACACUUUGCUUUGAGACUGAAGCUGUAAGCUGGGAAGAGGCCAAAAUGUGGAUGGAUUGAUUUUCUCUUUUUCUUUCUUUCUCUCUCUCUCUCACUCGCUCUUUCUUUCUUUCUUUCUUUCUUUCUUUCUUUCUUUCUUUCUUUCUUUCUUUCUUUCUUUCUUUCUUUCUCUCUUUUUUCCUCUCUCUCUCUCUUUUUCUUUCGUUCUCUCUCUUUCUUUCUUUCUUUCUUUCUUUCUUUCUCUCUCUCUCUCUCUCUCUCUCUCUCUCUCUCUUUCUUUCUUUCUGUCUCUCUCUUUCUCUCUCUCUCUCUCUCUCUCUCUCUCUCUCUUUCUUUCUUUCUCUUUUCUUUCUCUUCUUUUCCUCUCUCUCUCUUCUUUUCCUCUCUCUCUCUUCUUUUCCUCUCUCUCUCUUCUUUCUGUCUCUCUCUUUCUCUCUCUCUCUCUCUCUCUCUCUCUCUCUCUCUUUCUUUCUUUCUCUUUUCUUUCUCUUCUUUUCCUCUCUCUCUCUUCUUUUCCUCUCUCUCUCUUCUCUCUCUCUCUCUCUUCUCUCUCUCUCUCUCUCUCUCUCUCUCUCUCUCUCUCUCUCUCUCUCUCUCUCUCUCUCUCUCUCUCUCUCUCAUGAGGGUUAUGGCUGUGAUGGAUACUGGCAGCCUGCAUGCAGCCUAUAGUGUGGGACCCUAGCGACCCCACAGCACAGCCAGUGAAUUGGUAUUUCUUCUGAGAGGAGCAGAGGUCCUCUGCCAACACCAAGAGCCUGACAGCUGCUGAACGGAUGGCAGAGGGCCGUCUUUCUCUCUGCACAGACACACCAAGGCUGACAUAGGGGAACUAGAGAUUGACAAUGCAACAGGUCGAGCAGGAUGGCUCGGAACUCCUCGUCCUCACACAGGUCUAAAGGCUGCAGCGUGGAGCGGCUGCCAUCCAUCAGUGUCUCUCAGGUCCAUCCUGGCCCCUCCCUCCAGCAGAAGCUCUGCA